AUUGAACGCUGGCGGCGUGCUUAACACAUGCAAGUCGAUCGGUAACAGGUGUAGCAAUACAUGCUGACGAGAGGCGGACGGGUGAGUAAUGCUUGGGAAUCUGCCUAUUAGUGGGGGGACAACCCGGGGAAACUCGGGCUAAUACCGCAUACGCUCUACGGAGGAAAGCCGGGGACCGCAAGGCCUGGCGCUAAUAGAUGAGCCCAAGUCGGAUUAGCUAGUUGGUAGGGUAACGGCCUACCAAGGCGACAAUCCGUAGCUGGUCUGAGAGGACGACCAGCCACACCGGAACUGAGACACGGUCCGGACUCCUACGGGAGGCAGCAGUGGGGAAUAUUGGACAAUGGGGGCAACCCUGAUCCAGCGACGCCGCGUGGGUGAAGAAGGCCUGCGGGUU
rnacentral:rRNA from 1 species